CCACAAAUGUCUAUUGAGCCCUUUAAUUAUUGCUAAUGAGAGUGAGGAAUUUAAUAUUAAUUUUAUUUAGUUGAAAUAGCCAUGUGUGGCUAGUAACUAUGAUAUUGGACAUGUUGGGGAGGAAAAAUAUCUUUUUCUUCUGUCCUUCUGUGUUCUUAGCUGGGGGCCCUGUAACUAAAGACAGAUUAACAAGAGAAAAGCAUACACAUUUAUUUAAUGUUGCAUGGCACUGGAGCCUCAAAAAGGAAAUGAAGACCUGAAGGAGUGGUUAAGCCUGAGUGGUUUUAUGCUGGUGGGUUUGAUGACAAGUGGAGAGUCAUGAAAGAACGUGAUAGGACAAAGAUUACAACAUAUACCAAAUGUAACCAAUCAACUGAUAAGAUGCACAGGACCAACAUGCAGGCUGCUGGAACUCAACUGAGAUUCUCUGAGUAAGAAAGAAAGAAAAAGUGAGUUGCUAUGAAGACAAACUGAGUUAAUAUACAUAAAGUGCAUAGACUAGUGCCAAGUUUGAUCUAUCAUCACCAUAAUCGUCAUCAUCAUCACAUCGUCUAUAAUGUGUUCCACUAUGAUGUUCUGCUGUGUGGAACAGCCUGUAGCCAAGUCUUUGCAUGCACUAAGAUGAAUCCUUAAGGAGCUGAAUUGCUGGGUCACUAGGCAUUAGACACUCUGCUUCUCAAAGACUCAAGAGCUUUAUCCAAUAAGUGAGCUGGAGGCCAGAGAACAAACAGAUAAUAAAAGAGCAAGAAAUCCUUGAAAAAGGAUAGGCAGAAUGCAUCUUAGGGGCUGCAAAAAGAAGCUAAAGGAGAAGGUGUUCCCGUCUUUUCCUUUUCCUCUCUGAAGGUUUUAAAAAGUUGGCGCUUCACCUGCGUGCCUCUUGAGAGUCGGAAUGGUUGACCUUGUCCACUGGCCUCGUGGGAAGUGGCUGGAAUGGGAGCCUCACACACUUGCCAACGUGGCUGCACACUGUCUUUCACUGACGAGCUUGGGGACCCUGGACCAAGUGCAGUCUCUCAUAGAUGAGGGGGCUGGACCUGAUG